AUCAUGGCUCAGGAUGAACGCUGGCGGCGUGCUUAACACAUGCAAGUCGAACGGAGAUACUGUGUGAGCGGAGAUAGCUUGCUAUUAACAAUCUUUAGUAUCUUAGUGGCGGACGGGUGAGUAACGCGUGGAUAACCUGCCUUGUACUGGGGGAUAACACUUAGAAAUAGGUGCUAAUACCGCAUAAGCGCACAGGACCGCAUGGUCUGGUGUGAAAAAACUCCGGUGGUACAAGAUGGAUCCGCGUCUGAUUAGCUAGUUGGUGGGGUAAUGGCCUACCAAGGCGACGAUCAGUAGCCGGCUUGAGAGAGUGACCGGCCACAUUGGGACUGAGACACGGCCCAAACUCCUACGGGAGGCAGCAGUGGGGAAUAUUGGACAAUGGGGGCAACCCUGAUCCCAGCGACGCCGCGUGAGUGAAGAAGUAUUUCGGUAUGUAAAGCUCUAUCAGCAGGGAAGAUAAUGACAGUACCUGACUAAGAAGCCCCGGCUAACUACGUGCCAGCCGCCGC
rnacentral:rRNA from 1 species